UAGUCUAACUGUACCACUUUGUCAAUGCCCAAUCUUGUCUGAUCUUUGAAGCUAAACAGGAUAGGGCCUGUUUAGUACUUGGAUGGGAGAUGGCUGGGAAUACCAGGUGCUGCAGUGG
rnacentral:rRNA from 1 species